rnacentral:rRNA from 1 species
UACGUAGGGGGCUAGCGUUGUCCGGAAUCAUUGGGCGUAAAGAGCGUGUAGGCGGCCAGACAGGUCCGUUGUGAAAACUGGAGGCUCAACCUCCAGACGUCGAUGGAAACCGUCUGGCUAGAGUCCGGAAGAGGAGAGUGGAAUUCCUGGUGUAGCGGUGAAAUGCGCAGAUAUCAGGAAGAACACCCGUGGCGAAAGCGGCUCUCUGGGACGGUACUGACGCUGAGACGCGAAAGCGUGGGGAGCGAACAGG